rnacentral:tRNA from 1 species
GCCUCCUUAGCUCAGCGGUAGAGCAGCUCAUUCGUAAUGAGCAGGUCGACGGUUCAAAUCCGUUGGGAGGCU